AUGAGGAUCGGUGAACCUAGCGGCAUUGAAAUUCACCGUCUUCGCCAAGGCUGCCUGUCAACAAUCUUGGAAGAGACGCCAUCCCGCAAGACGCCUUCCUCGAUUUCACUCGCCGCACUUCCAGAUAGGGCCAAGGAUGACGUGUCCUACGCGUUCAGUAACUUGGCCACCGAGGACGUCCUCCCAGAUAAUCGGGACCUCAAGCAGUGGUACACGGUCGAAGAACGCACUUGCGGCAGCCACGCAGGAUAUCCCAGGAGGCUGUUCCCGAGGGCCGAGUGGUACCCGCUCGUUGGUAUGGGCGUCAAGGACACCGUGGCUCAGUGCAACACCAUGCAAGUACCAUGGACCGCGCAAGGAGCCUGGCACCAGACGGUGGAAGCCUCGAGGUUCACCGUGCGCCUACUGAUGCAGAGUGCGCGAGACCCGAGUACGCGUGGAUCGGAAGCGGCCGCGACCACGAGUGGCCGGUUCGUCGAGUGCGACCACGUGCCUUCUGCCGAGUGCAGCCUCGACGUCUCGGGCUGCAGGCGACGCAUCCACCCGCGUGACACGCUGCCGUGCGCGUUGACGGUGCUGAAUGCCAUCAAGGCUGACAGCAACGGCGACACGUACGGCGUGGCUGUACCAAGCAGCCGCAUUUGGAGGCUACGCGCGAGGUUCUCCGCGAACAGAGUAGACGGCAGUACGGCAAUCCCGACAGGAGUCGCCCGUCGUCGCCUGCAUCGCCGCACGUGUGGCUGCCGUCUGCUCGGCUGCACUUUGUCACAGCUGCAGCGGCGCAACAGCCCCAAGCUCUGCAGGCGGCGUUACCGUCACCUCGGCUGUGCUUAUCCAAGCUGAGUAGUUGACCGUGCGUUCUCUGCUGACCACGUGACCGGCGACUUCGAAGUGCACUCGGUUCGCUGGCACGAUGGCCACACUAGACAUUUGUGGGCGCACUGGGGGCUCCACUACGUUCACGGGCUGGUGUACCUGCGCAGGGUUUGGCGAGGACGCCCCCAGCAACCGCUGCGAGCUAGUCGCCGUGUCGCUAUCCCGCGACGAUAGUGCUUCGAAACUGUGGCGCCGCUUGCCGGGAGUGGGUGCACUUUUCUUUCGUAACUUUUUACAUCUUUUUCAGUGUAUUUGUGUGAAAGUAGUAUUGUUAUAUGUGCUUAAAAUACAAUUUUUUGCGAUCGAAA
rnacentral:misc_RNA from 1 species